rnacentral:lncRNA from 10 species
CAUUGGAAAGUCACACUACCUUGCUUUAAAGUGAAGAAUUAGAAUUGUUUCUCUGAAGAUGAGGGAGGUGCAUGAAGGAUGUCAGCCGUGUGUAUGCUAUUGAGAACUGGACGGGAGUGAAAGAGAGUGAUGAAGACAACAGUCUAUACAGCAUCUCCUAUUACCUGUUAGCUCAGUGCUUCAUGUGCAUUACCUCACUGAAUUCUCGCAACAGCCCAAAAAGGUCAUAAUCAUCUGGAGAGACACAUUGGCAGAGAGACUACCUUAAUACAAUGGGGAAAAAUGACUAUGGGACUUUCUUUCCCCAGCUGUUUUGAGGCUUUAAAAUUUAUCUUAGAACCUCUUGGAACUAUCCCAUCAGAAUAACUGGAAGCCAGAUAAAACAUUAGGCAGUUCAUUCAUUUUAUUGGACGUGGAGUUUUGUCAGAACCAGCAUUUACUGUACUUCUCAUAGCUGUAAGCAAAGCAUUAGAAUUCAGCAACCUAAUGCUUUUCUUUUCUCUGCCAAGCGGGGUCGUGAAAUGGGAGAGAAAGCCUCCUUGCCUCUGUUCUUUGCAAACAG